UGCUGAAUGUCAGAACAUUGUGUCAAAUUGGUAAUUUACAGUGACUUAUAAAGUGUCAGGUUUAGUUCCAUCAUAACAGCAUUCCAAAAAACAUUAGCUGACGUUGUUGUUCAGUAGCUAGCUCAGAGAUUUUCAGAUAAUUAAAUUAUUGAUUUAGCAGGGGGGUUAACACUUUUGCCAGGCACUAUAUCAGUGUCACAUUCUCAUUAGGUAGGGGCUG